rnacentral:rRNA from 1 species
CCUACGGGUGGCAGCAGUGAGGAAUAUUGGUCAAUGGCCGGAAGGCUGAACCAGCAAUGCCGCGUGAAGGUCAGUGCCCUAUGGGCGUUAAACUUCUUUUGUGCGGGAGCAAUAAUGGUCACGUGGGGCCAGACGCGAGUACCGUACACAUAAGCAUCGGCUAACUCCGUGCCAGCAGCCGCGGGAAUACGGGGGAUACGAGCGUUAUCCGGAUUUAUUGGGUUUAAAGGGAGCGUAGAUGGGUUUGUAAGUCAGUUGUGAAAGUUUGCGGCUCAAACGUAAAAUUGCAAUUGAUACUGGGAGCCUUGAGUACAGUAGAGGUAGGCGGAAUUCGUAGUGUAGCGGUGAAAUGCUUAGAUAUCACGAAGAACUCCGAUUGCGAAGGCAGCCUACUAAACUGCCACUGACAUUGAUGCUCGAAAGUGUGGGUAUCAAACAGGAUUAGAUACCCCUGUAGUC